GGAUUAGAUACCCUGGUAGUCCACGCCGUAAACGAUGUCGACUAGCCGUUGGGGUCCUUGAGGCUUUAGUGGCGCAGCUAACGCGAUAAGUCGACCGCCUGGGGAGUACGGCCGCAAGGUUAAAACUCAAAUGAAUUGACGGGGGCCCGCACAAGCGGUGGAGCAUGUGGUUUAAUUCGAAGCAACGCGAAGAACCUUACCAGGUCUUGACAUCCUCGGAACUUUGCAGAGAUGCAUGGGUGCCUUCGGGAACCGAGUGACAGGUGCUGCAUGGCUGUCGUCAGCUCGUGUUG
rnacentral:rRNA from 1 species